rnacentral:lncRNA from 1 species
UCUGACAAUCAUGCACAAUAUUCAAACAAUAAAAAGAAAUACGGAAGUUUUAACAUACGAAAACAUGGUCAAUACGAAAGGAAACUCUUGACACUCAAACAUCUGAAUCAGUCUGUGAAAUCUAAAACAAUUACAAGAAUCAACAUCCGUCUAAAAGAAAAACUUAUACAAGGCCCCCAGUCAAACCAUGAAUCAAAUAAAUAGCAAUGUUCCAUAAACCCGGCCUUUCGAAAUAGGGGAGGCUCAUCAACUGCAAAUCUCAGACACACCACCUACUGCUUAGCGGGACCCCGGACUGAGCCUCAGAUCCUAAAAUAUAGAGGGCAAUACAAUUGUACUAGUACGGAGAGCAAUCCAAAACAAAAAUAUAUUUUUACAUAAUAUAAGUGAGAGCAUUUCAUAAAACACAUGUCAUCUUAAAAUAGUUGAAAAUACAUGGGCAUAAUAUAAAUCUUUCAAAACAGAUUCUACAAAUCAUGACUCUACACUUUCUUCUCUUCUAAGCUAGAUGGUACAUCCUACAAUCUGUAAUUCCACGGGCUAUAUGGAAUCUGCCUUUGACUCAGCGGCCAAGCUCCCAAUCUAAGUUUGCCGCAAAGGUUGGAGUAUCUGCUUAUCUACUACACCACAGAGUCAUCAUCAACGUACGAUCUCCCUUUCGGGUAACAUAAACCCGUGUCGACAAAUCAUAGUUUUAGGCAAUGAGUCGUCUGACUCGUGCCUUCUUCGGGUAACCAUCUAACUCUCUUAAGCCCAAUUUUAUACUCUUUAAAACAUAUCUUCAUCUUAUAAUCGUUUUAUCUCUUAUCCUAUUUUCGGGCAUAUACCCCUGACUUGCAAGUUAUAUCACACUCUACUGCCCUCUUAUCGAUUCAAAAGAUAUUAUUGACCACCCAAAAGAUCUACUAAUUAAUAAGAGUUCAUAUUUUAAAAUAGUUGAAAAACAUGUACUUCUUCCUUCAACACUUUAUUUACGGUGGUCACCUUUCUUAUCAAGUUUUAAGCCAUUCUCAUGGGAAAACAUGACCAUUUACAAAACAAGUAAAAACAACCUCUCAUUUCCUCAUAUAAAACAGUAUAAUUGUACAUAUUAAUUCAUCAACAGACCCAAGCCUUUAGCAAUUCGCAUAAUUAAUUCACAACAUGUAUAACUCAAGGGAUUUCAUAGUAAAAAAAAAAAGGGAAUUACAGAUCCCAUGCUCUCAUAUAACUUCACAAUUCUGAUAUCACAUGAUCACACGAAUAUAAUUCGAGUUUUAAACACCAAUUUACAAUUUCUACAAUACUUCAUCAAAUCAUAGGAUUUCCAAUACAUAUUUAUCAAGAUCUUGAAACCAAUUUCACAUGAAUAUGUAUAUACUCUUUAAAUCAUGUUUAAAAAUAGUAAAUCCAUGCCCAUGAGGUUUAGGAUAGUCCACAUACCUUAGAUUACUUAUUUUGAAGAAUAGGACUUGAAUCUUGACUCGUUUCUUGGAAAUCUUGAACUUAAAGAUGGAUUCUUGAUCUUUGGGGGUGGAGUUAAGGUUUAGUUUUUUAGGGAAUUUAAGUAACUUUUGGCAUAAUAUGCCCUAAUCACGACUUAAUUUUGUGUUUAGGCUAAGUUAAGACGAGGGGAAAAGACUAAAAUACCCUCUUGAACCUAAAAAAUAUAUUAAAAUGAACUGGGCACCCGAUACGUUAGGCGAAGUGACGCAUCGGGCACCAGUACGACAGGUAUCACGAUGCGUCGAUAUCGCAUUGAGUUACUAUUUCUGAAAUCCAAACAUGUCCCUUCCCUCGUUCGAAAAAUCUGAAACUCCCCUGAGAGAUUCCUUUUACACCUCCAAAUAUGAAUCAACUCACUAAUCUAUGUCUCGGGGUCGGAAAGGUCAAUUUAGAACUCAUUGAACUUUAGGAGUUUAAAAUAUGACUUAAGUCCUUUUUAACACUUAGGAAAAUUUCAGGUUGUUAGCUUUUUAAGCUUACUACUAAACGUGGUAACAAUUCAAGAAUGCUAUGAGGUGUUACAUUAUCCUUCUCUUGGGUUCAUUCAUCCUCGAAUGAUGGCUCGAAACACAGAUAAGCACGACUUCAAAAACACUAAGGAAAAGAUAAAGAGAGUAGUAUAUGAUUUGAACCUUCUAUGUCGUCAUCCACAGUCUCAAAAAGGUUUGGGUGUCUAGUUUGCAUGUCAUUUUCUGACUCCCAAGUAGCUUCCUCAGCUUUUUUUAUUCUUCCACAACACCUUAACCAAAACUAUCUCCUUACUUCUUAAUUUCCGAACUUGGCGAUCCAUAGUGGCAAUGGGCUCUUCUUCAUAUGACAAGGAGUCUUUCACAUUGACCUCCUCUAUAGGCAAUACUAGGGAAUGAUCUCCUAUGCACUUUUUCAACAUGGACACAUGGAAUACUGGGUGCACGAAAGCCAAACUCGUGGGUAACUCUAACUCAUAAGCAACCCCGCAAACUCUUCUUACAAUCUAAUAUGGUCCUAUAUAACGAGGACUAAGCUUCCCUUUCUUCCCGAAUUGCAUGACUCCCUUCAUAGGGGAGACUUUUAAGAAUACCCAAUCAUCCACCUCAAAUUCUAAAUCUCUCCUUCUAACAUCGGCAUAAGAUUUCCGGCGACUCUGAGCAGCCUUAAGUUAUUCCCUAAUUAUCUUUACUUUUUCCAUCUCCUAAUGACAAGGCUGGGCACAAACAACCGGGUUUCACCCACUUCGUACUAUCCAAUUGGUGAUUUACAUCUCCCAUAAAGCACCUCAAAAGGAGCUAUCUGAAUACUAGAAUGGUAGUUAUUGCUGUAGGCGAAUUCUAUCAAUGGAAAAUGGUCCACCCAACUACCUUUGAAGUCAAUCGCAUAGGCCCUCAACAUAUCCUCAAGGGCCUGAAUGGUGCGUUCGGCUUGCCCAUCAGUCUGAGGGUGGAAGGCAGUACUUAGGUUCACUUAGGUGCCUAAACCCCGUUGAAAGGACCUCCAAAACUACGAAGAAAAUUGCGUACCUCAGUCAGAUAUAAUGGACACAAAAGCACCAUGCAAAUGGACUAUCUCUCGAAUGUAUAGCUUGGCAUAGUUAUCCCCCACAUAGUUGAUUCGUACAGGAAGAAAAUGAGCGGACUUGGUCAACUUAUCCACGAUCACCCAAAUGGAGUCAUAUUGGUUUAGGGACUUCAAAAUCCCCGUAAUGAAGUCCAUAUUAAUCAUCUCCCACUUUCACAUAGGCAAGGCUAUCUCUUGAGAAGUGCCACCUGGCCUCAAAUGUUCUACCUUAACUUGCUGAUAAUUCAUACACUUAGAAACAAAAUUAACAUCUCUUUUCAUAUUAUUCUACCAAUAGAUGUUCUUAAGGUCAUGAUACAUUUUCGUAGAUCCUGGGUGAACCACAUAUCUCAAAGUGUGAGCUUUAUCAAAAAUUCUCUCUCGCAAACCAUUCAUGUUCAGUACAUACAACCUACCCUAAUAUCUCAGAAUCUCGUCUCCUCUAAUUUCAAAUGUCAUCACCUUUUGUUAACCAAUAUCUUUCUUAAUCUACAUCAAGAUGGGAUCCUCAGCCUGUUUCUCCUUAACUUCAGUACAUAAGGAGGAUUUAGCUAUCUCAUGAACAAUUACUCCUCCAUCUUCAGAAUCCAAAAGUCGAACUCCUAAAUUUAUAAGCCGAUGAAUAUCCCUCACGAUCUCCUUCUUCCCUUUCUCAACAUGAGAAAGACUGCCCAUUGACAACCUGCUAAGAGUAUCGACUACCACAUUGGCCUUGCCCAAAUGAUAGUGCAGGCUCAUGUCAUAAUCCUUCAAUAAUUCUAACCAACGCCUCUGCCUGAGAUUCAGCUCUUUCUGCAAGAAAACAUACUGCAAACUUUUGUGAUCAGUAAAUAUAUCUACAUGCACCCCAUAAGGAUAAUGCUGCCAGAUCUUAAGUACAAACACUACAGCUGCUAACUCUAAGUCAUGAGUGGGAUAAUUCUUUUCACGCACGUUCAACUGCCUAGAUGCAUAAUCUACCACUUUACCAUGCUACAUAAGCACGCACCCAAGUCCCCGGGGGAUGCAUCACAGUAAACAAUGAAGCCAUUUGUACCCUCAGGAAGGGUCAAAAUCAAUGCAGUAGUCAACUUGUCUUUCAAUUUCUCAAACCUAUUCUCACAAGAUUUUGACCACAAGAAUUUUGCCUUUUUCUGAGUCAAUUUGGUAAGGGGUGCAUCUAUGGAGGAAAAGCUCUCUACAAAGAUUUUGUAAUACCCUGCCAAACCCAGAAAGCUUCGGAUAUCGGUUGGAGUCAUGGUUCUAGGCCAUUUUCUUACUACCUCAAUCUUUUGGGGGUCAACCUUAAUCCCUUCACUAGACAUAAUGUUCCCCAGAAAAGCAAUGACGCUAAGCCAGAAUUCAUAUUUUGAAAACUUUGCAUAUAAUUCAUGAUCUUUGAGGGUCUGGAGAAUGAUUCGAAGGUGAUCAUCAUGAUCCUCUUCAUUUUUAGAAUAAACCAAGAUGUCGUUAAUAAAGACUAUGACGAACAGAUCUAGAAACUGAUAAAAAAACUAUUCAUUAGGUUCAUAAAAGUUGUGGGGGCAUUAGUCACCCCGAAGGACAUAACUAAGAAUUCAUAAUGGCCAUAUCGGGUUCGGAAAGCAUUUUUGAGAAUGUUAGCCUCCCUAACCUUCAACUGAUGAUACCCCGAAUGAAGAUCUAUUUUGGAGAAACAUGUAGCACCUUGGAGUUGAUCAGAUAAAUCAUCAAUUUUGGGAAGAGGAUAUUUAUUUUUACCAGUGACCUUAUUGAGCUGACGGUAGUCUAUACACACAUGGAGAGAGUCGUCUUUCUUAAGUACAAAGAGUACAGGUGCGCCCCAGGGAGAAACACUAGGGUGGAUAAAACCCUUAUCAAGAAGGUCUUUCAACUACUCUUUCAACUCUUUUAGUUCUGUAGGAGCCAUUCUGUAUGGUGGAAUAGAAAUAGGAUGAGUGUCCAGCAAUAAGUCAAUGCCAAAAUCUAUUUCCCUGCCAGGUGGUAUCCCCGGGAGAUCAUCAGGAAAAAAUUUUGGGAAUUCAUUAACUACAGCGAUAGACUGGAGGAAAGGACUUUCGAUACCAAAAUCUUUGACUUGAAUAAGAUAAUACAAAUAACCCUUGAAUAUCAGUCUACGGGCCCUGAGAUAAGAUAUGAAUUUCCCCUUAGGUGCUAAAGAAUACCCUUCCCAUUUUGGUUCAUUUGGAAAGUAAAAAGUAACUUUUCAGUGUCUAUAGUCUAGCAUGGCAUAACACGAAUGGAGCCAAUCCUUUUCCAAAAUGGCAUUAGAAUCAAUCAUAUCAAUCUAUAAAAGAUCUACCACAGUAUCAUGAUUAUAGAAAAACACAACACAAUUCCUAUACAUACCCUAGCCAUAAUAGAGUCACCAACAAGGGUUGAAACAGAGAAAGGUUCCAAAAUAAUUUCAGGCUCAAAACCAAAACUGACGGCUACAUACGAGGUCACAUAAGACAAGGUAUAUCCUGGAUCAAGAAACACAUACACAUUACAGGAGAAAAUUUAUAAUGUACUCGUCAUAACAUCUGGCGAAGCCUCAGCAUCCUAGUUGUUAGAUAAAGCAUAUAACUGGUUGCAACCACCACCGGUAGCUGAAGUAGCGCCCUUAGGAGGAGGGGCUGUGGAUGCGGCUUGGGACUUAGCUCCCCCAAAAUUUUCUUUUGUCGAGGGACAGUCCCUCUUGAUAUGGCCUGGCUGGCCAAAGGCAUAGAACACGAGAUUACCAAACUAUCACAACCCCGGAUGAUCCUUUCCACAUUUCCUAUAACAUGGGUAUGCUCGAUAAGUCUGAGCUACACAUCCCUGAGACUGAGUGCCUAGGGCUCUAGGCCUGUCACCUGACUGGAACCGCUGUUCACCCAAAAUCCAGGGCACAAGUGCACUUGCUGAAGACUGAGCAUUACUCCAAAACUUCUUUUUAGACCACCUAUUUCCCCAAUUACCACCUUGAUACAGACUGUUAUUCUGGUCUGUAGAUCUGGCUUUCUUGGCCUGCCUGUGUUUCUCCCUGGCCUCUGCCACCCUUUUCUUCUGCUCUUCAACCUGUUGCAUAUCAACAAAAAAUCUAGAGAAAUCCAUAUCUCAAUUCAACAUCGCUCCUUUACAUUCUAGCACCAGAUCAUUCGAGAGACCAAAUGCAAACUUUCUCAUGUGAGCUCUCAUAUUACCUACCAAUUUUGGAGCAUACCUGGACAACUGAGUGAAAUUUAAUGUAUACUCUUUGACACUCAUUUUUCCUUAAUUUAAAUUAAUAAAUUCCUCAGCCUUUUGACUCCCUCAACUCCUAGGGAAAGCAACGGUCUAGAAAAGUUUCCACAAAUUCACCCUACACAGAAGGCUCAGCAUUACUACCCUUCGAGUCCUCCAAUUCAUUAUACCACUGGUUCGCUACAUACUUCAAAUGAUAGGCUGCCAACUCAACCCCUUCAACCUCAUUUGCAUACAUAACUUGGAAAAUGUUCUCUAGUUCUUCAAUGAACCCUUGGGUAUCCUCCUCAAUUUUCGUACCAAUAAACAUAGGCGGGUUCAGCCUCAUGAAUUAACCAACCCGCAUAAUCUCAGGUGAACCAAACACAGACCCUAUAUCUUCAUACAGACUAGUUUGAAAGGCCACCAGCUGAGCUAUCAUAUGGAUAGACGGUCGAAACUCAGUAUUCGUAACUUCUCUCUGAGGAGGCUGGGGAUGGUUAACACUGGUUUGUGGAGUCUAAGGUGGAUUAGCCAAAACUGGAGGAACUCUCGGAGCAGCAACAAACUUUGGGGAACGAGUUCUAUUAUGAGUCCGCAUGCCAUGAGUGGGACGAACAUCCUCAGCUUGGGUGUUUUGUUCAUUAGUUCUAUGGGGAGGCAUAAUCAAUUUUCUAAAAUACAGGGAAUCAUUGGUUAGAGGACAUUCAGACUCUACAACACGGACUAAAUCAUGAAAGAAAGAGAGAGACGUUUCUAAACGCCUUGUUUACUAGCUCAACAAUACUAGAACUAUGUUUGAGAUGGCAAAAGAACUUUGUUACAAAAAAGUGUACAAAGUCAAAGAAGGAUAUUUUUGUAAAUAAACAUUUCUUUUAUAGAAAUUAUGUAAGAUAUAUUAUUUCUAAUACAUCAAGCCAAACAAUGUAUAAGAAACAAUAUCAGCAUAACUAAUACAAGCAUUACUAAUGUAAGUACUACUAAUACACUAUAUUCUACAUUGUUCUUAUACACUCUACCAAACGACCCCUUAAGGUGGAUCAAUAUGGACAAUUGCAUGCACAUGAACUAAUAAAUCUCAUCAUAAAACUUCAAACUAAACUAUUAUAUCUUAACAAGAGGCUAAAGGUUAAAGAAUGUAAACAAAGUCUACCCCUACAUAACAUUUGUCAAGAUAUUUCCCGAAGGAGAUGAUUUUUAAGGCAUACCAAAUGUAUCAAGCAUAACAAUUAUUGAAGAGCUAACUAAAUUAUGAGAUGCCAUCCAUUCAAGACUUCUCACUGAAUGUUCUUAAACAUAUAUAAUUAGAUUAGUACUACUAGAUUCUUACCCAAACUCAAAAAUAUCGGCGGCAAAAUAGAGAAUUUCUAAUACCAUGGUCACACUAUACUUGAACUAACAAAGUACAUAUUUCGUGUAUAGUAUUCUGUCUAGCAAACCAUACACAAACAUGUUGUCAUAUUUUAUCUUAAGUGGACAUCUAAAUUGAGAUUUAGAAGUAAACAAAAUGUAUUCAGUACUCUAAAGCACCACAAUAGGCAUAUAGUAAAAGAAGAAAUAUUGUUAUAAACAAGUGUCCUAGAAAUAUCAAACAAACACAACCAUGAAAGACAAACAAGAAACAUAGGGAACAACUAAUUUAGUAUUAGUGAACAACCAAAGCCGAUCCUAGCUUCAAAAUACUAAAUUAUAAGCAUAUUUUAAGGAAGUAUUAGAGUCAGAAGGACAAAAUGAGAAAAACACUAACCUAUUUUGGUGCAGUGAACGUGAGGCGCAUGUCUCGGAUCUACUCCUUACUCCCAUAACCAUUCAAACCUCAGAUUGAGUAACGUAAAUCAACACAAAAUCGACCAAGGAAAAAGUUAAAAAUCGGGGAGACUUUUAAUUACUCCAAAAAUACUAACAACUAAAGUUUAAAGCUUUCCUAGAGGGAAACUAACAGCUAAUUCGAAAAGUUUUGGAGUAAAGAGGUGUCUGAAAAGUUUUUCAAGACCAAAGAGAUGACCAAAACAGAAAGGAAUUCCGCUCGGUCGAGAAACAAAAUAGAGUGAAGUAAACAAGUAUAUUUUUUAGCGUGAAAAAGAGUAACAACUUUCUGAGUUGUAGGAGCAAUGGCUGCCAAAAAAUGUCCUUAAAUGGAUUAUGAACGCAAGUAUCUAUAGAGAGAAAUUAGAAUUCUUCAACUUUUGAGAAAACUUCUUGAAUUCAAAAUUUAAAUUCUUGAAAGGCUCGAUUGCAGGUGAUAAUGAUGAAAUUCAAAAAUAAAAUGAUGGAUUUUUUCCCUUUCUAUUGACGUGAAGGAAGAAAGAAACGAUUUUGAGGUGGAGGAUUUGGAACCGUCGGUUUAAAGAGGUAAUGACCUCAAAAUUCAGAGGUCUUUUGAUUUUCUUCACUUCUCAGAGAUGACAGUGAUAGAUAAGAGCUUUUGUAGCUUUGAUUUGAGAAGACAAAAGGUUAUGGAGAGAGAUGACUGAAGUGACGGGGUGAGAAAAAGAUAAAAAAGUUAAGGGGAAAGGCUAAGACCAUCGAAAUUUGCCAUUAUCCAGUGGUCAGGGUUUGGUCGGUAUUUACAGAGAGUGAGAGAGAAGAGGGUUGAUGUUUUGGUUGAAGUGGAGCGAUAGAAGUAAAGGAGUAUUAGGCAUUAGGGGACUGGUUUAGUUAGGAGUGAAUUUGGGUCGGGUCAGGUUUUAGCUUUGGUUGGG